rnacentral:rRNA from 1 species
UACGUAGGGGGCAAGCGUUGUCCGGAAUUAUUGGGCGUAAAGCGCGGGCAGGCGGUCUGACAAGUCUGAUGUGAAAUCACCCAGCUUAACUGGGCGAGGCCAUUGGAAACUGACAGGCUGGAGGGCAGUAGAGGUAGGCGGAAUUCCGGGUGGAGUGGUGAAAUGCGUAGAGAUCCGGAGGAACCCCAGAGGCGAAGGCGGCCUACGGGGCUGAACUGGACGCUGAGGAGCGAAAGCUAGGGAGCAAACGGG